rnacentral:rRNA from 1 species
ACCUGGUUGAUCCUGCCAGUAGUCAUAUGCUUGUCUUAAAGAUUAAGCCAUGCAUGUCUAAGUAUAAAUGAAUUUAUAGUGAAACUGCGAAUGGCUCAUUAAAUCAGUUAUAAUCUAUUUGAUUGUCUUUUUACACGGAUAACUGUGGUAAUUCUAGAGCUAAUACGUGCUACCAAGUCCGACUUGUGCAAACUUGAAGGACCGUACUUAUUUGUUCUUGAAACCUACCGCCAAAAGCGGGUUUUUCCAAAGGUUGAUUCAAAAUAAUUGAUCGGAUCGCAUGGUCUUGUACCGGCGAUGAUUCAUUCGAAUUUCUGCCCUAUCAACUUUGAUGGUAGGAUAGAGGCCUACCAUGGUUUCGACGGGUAACGGAGAAUUAGGGUUUGAUUCCGGAGAAGGAGCCUGAGAAACGGCUACUACUUCCAAGGAAGGCAGCAGGCGCGCAAAUUACCCACUCCUGACACAGGGAGGUAGUGACAAUAAAUAACGAUGUAGGACCCCAACGGGUGCUACAAUUGGAAUGAGUACAAUCUAAACCUCUUAACGAGUAACCAUUAGAGGACAAGUCUGGUGCCAGCAGCCGCGGUAAUUCCAGCUCUAAUAGCGUAUAUUAAAGUUGUUGCGGUUAAAAAGCUCGUAGUUGAAUUUAAGGGUGGAAAAUCUCCGUCAAAAGAGACCAAGUAAGUGUCUGAUUCUGGGGUUUUUGGAAUUAUAAGCGGAAGGUGGGUAUUGGGCUUGCUCAGUAUUCAUUGGAAGUUUGUAAGUCCGUUCCUUGGGAUCGGCUUACCCACCCUUCGUUUCCCUGUCUAAGUCAGAUCCUAUAUUAAAACACGGGUGCCAUUAGUUUGUUAUCUCUCGGGGUAGCAAAUUAGUGGAUUUCCUAUUAGUAUGGGGUCGUGGUUGGGUUUACUCAACCAGCUUUGACAGGAGUUUACUUUGAGUAAAUUAGAGUGUUCAAAGCAGACAAAUUUAUUAGUCAUUGAAUAUUUUAGCAUGGGAUAAUAGAACAGGGCCUUGUUUCUUCUGUUUAUGGUUUCUGAGAAAUAAGGUAAUGAUUAAUAGGGAUAAUUGGGGGCAUUAGUAUUUAAUUGUCAGAGGUGAAAUUCUUGGAUUUGUUAAAGACUAACCACUGCGAAAGCAUUUGCCAAGGAUGUUUUCAUUAAUCAAGAACGAAAGUUAGGGGAUCGAAGACGAUCAGAUACCGUCGUAGUCUUAACCAUAAAUGUGCCGACCAAGAAUUGGUAGAUGUUUAUCAAAAAAAAUUGACUCCCUCAGAGCUUUGUGAGAAAUCACAAGUAUUUGGGUUCCGGGGGGAGUAUGGUCGCAAGGCUGAAACUUAAAGGAAUUGACGGAAGGGCACCACCAGGAGUGGAGCCUGCGGCUUAAUUUGACUCAACACGGGGAAACUCACCAGGUCCAGAUAUAGUAAGGAUUGACAGAUUGAGAGCUCUUUCUUGAUUCUAUACGUGGUGGUGCAUGGCCGUUCUUAGUUGGUGGAGUGAUUUGUCUGGUUUAUUCCGAUAACGAACGAGACCUCAGCCUAUUAAAUAGUCACAUUAAUCCUUCUACAAAACCAUCGGUUCUUUUCUGAUUCUUCAGGGGGCGCAAGUUCUCUGGCGGGGUUGGGGGGGGGCUGGUGGGGAUGGAUUGGUGUCCUGGCUUCUUAAAGGGACUAUCGGAGCCUAUCCGAUGGAAGAUUGAGGCAAUAACAGGUCUGUGAUGCCCUUAGAUGUCUUGGGCCGCACGCGCGCUACACUGAGAGUUUCAAUGAGUUUGUCCUCGGCUGAAAUGCUUUGGGAAAUCUUUCGAAAACCUCUCGUGAUGGGGAUAGAUUAUUGUAAAUAUUGAUCUUGAACGAGGAAUUCCUAGUAAGCGUAAGUCAUCAGCUUGCGUUGAUUACGUCCCUGCCCUUUGUACACACCGCCCGUCGCUCCUACCGAUUGAAUGAUUCGGUGAAAAGUUCGGCCGGCUUACCGCAAGGUGGAGCCAAAGUUCCUUGAACCACAUCAUUUAGAGGAAGGAGAAGUCGUAACAGGG